AUGACCAGCCCCGCGGCCGCGCAGAGCCGGGAGAUCUACUGUUUGAGCCCGGAAGCGCAGAGGCUGGCGGAGGCUCGGCUCGCCGCAAAACGGGCGGCCCGCGCGAAGGCUCGUGAGAUCCCCAUGAAGGAGCUGGAGCGGCAGCAGAAGGAGGUAGAAGACAGACCAGAAAAGUAUUUUACUGCGAAGGGGUCUCGUAACAUGCCGGGCCUGUCUGCAGCCACGCUGGCCUUUCUGGGUGGGACUUCCUCUCGGAGAGGCAGCGGAGACACCUCCAUCUCCAUGGACACCGAGGCGUCCAUCAUGGAAAUCAAAGACUCUCUAGCAGAAGUUGAAGAGAAAUAUAAGAAGGCUAUGUUUUCCAAUGCUCAGCUAGACAAUGAAAAGACAAACUUCAUGUACCAAGUUGAUACCCUGGAAGAUAUGUUGCUGGAGGUUGACGAACAGCUGGCUGAAUCUAGGCGGCAGUACGAAGAGAAAAACGAAGAAUUUGAAAGGGAAAAACACGCCCACAGUAUACUGCAGUUUCAGUUUGCUGAAGUCAAGGAAGCCCUGAAGCAAAGAGAGGACAUGCUCGAGAAACAUGGAAUAAUCCUAAAUUCAGAAAUAGCCACCAAUGGAGAGACUUCCGACACUCUCAAUAGUAUUGGAUACCAAGAUCCUACCAAGAUGACGAAAGAAGAGUUAAAUGCCCUCAAGUCGACAGGGGAGGGGACCCUAGGAAAGCCAGUGAAGUGGAGGUGAAGAAUGAAAUCGUGGCAAAUGUGGGGAAAAGAGAAAUCUUGCACAAUACUGAGAAAGAGCAACACACAGAGGACACAGUGAAGGAUUGUGUGGACAUAGAGGUAUUCCCUGCUGGUGAGAAUACCGAGGACCAGAAAUCCUCUGAAGACACUGCCCCAUUCCUAGGAAACUUAGCAGGUGCUACCUAUGAGGAACAGGUUCAAAGCCAAAUUCUUGAGAGCGCUUCUCUCCCUGAAAACACAGCACGGGUUGAGUCAAAUGAGGUCAUGGGUGCACCAGAUAACAGGACCAGAACUCCCCUUGAGCCAUCCAACUGUUGGAGUGACUUAGAUGGUGGGAGCCACACAGAGAAUAUGGGAGAGGCCACGGUGACUCAGGUUGGAGAGCAGGCAGGCACAGUGGACUUGUGUCCUUUAGAGCAUAGUGAUGACACAGUUUAUCAUGAUGACAGAUGUAUGGUAGAGGUCCCCCAAGAUUUAGAGACAAGCAUAGGGCAUAGUUUAGAGAAAGAAUUCACCAACCAGGAAGCAGCUGAGCCCAAGGAGUUUCCAGUGCAGAGUACAGAAGCAGGUAGGGAUCACAACGAAGAAGAGGGUGAAGAAACAGGAUUAAGGGAUGAGAAACCAAUCAAGACAGAAGUUCCUGGUUGUCCAGCAGGAACUGAGAGCAAGGGUCAGGAGGUGAGAAGUCCAAGGACAGUUGACACUCAGAGUGAACCCUUAGAUAUGAAAGAGCCAGAUGAAGAAAAGAAUGACCAACAGGGAGAGAGGCAUUGGACUCAUCGCAGAGGAAGAAAAAGAACAAGAAAAAGAGAAGAAGAAAAAAUCCCCAGUACCCACAGAAACCCUUAAAGAUGUUAAAAAAAAGAAUUAACUUAUCAGAACACGGAUUUAAGUGAAAUGAAGGAAGAGCAGGUAAAGUCUACUGACAGAAAGUCAGCAGUGGAAGCCCAAAACGAGGUGACUGAAAAUGCAAAACAGAAAAUUGCAGCAGAAAGCGGUGAAAAUGUUGAUUGUCCAGAGAAUCCUAAAAUUAAGUUGGAUGGAAAACUUGACCAAGAAGGCAAUGAUGUAAAAACAGCAGCUGAUAGACACACAUUAGAUUUUGAGGAUGUCACAGUUCAAUCAUCAGGCCCGAGGGUUGGUGGUGAAGAAUUACGUGAAGAUGUUGCAAAAGAUAAUGCUAAAAUAGAUGGUGCCACUCAAAGCAGUCUUGAAGAACCAGAGAGUGAAGAUGCAGAUGGCUGCACCCUGCCCAAAAAUGAAAGUCCCUCACAGGACAUUAGUGAUGCCUGUGAAGCAGAAAGUACAGAGAGGUGUGGGAUGUCAGAACAUCCAAGUCAGACUGUCAGGAAAGCUUUAGAUAGCAAUAGCCUAAAAAACGAUGACUUGUUGGCACCAGGAGGAGAGCUGGGGGACUUCAAUCCAGAAAGCAGAGAAGAUACCAGAAGAGGGAACGAGAAAGGCAAAAGCAAAGAAGACUGUACCAUGUCCUAAGCUGAGCCAGGAGGCAGGCGUGGUGCACAGGAAGUCUGAGUGUGAGGUGCUUUUUUCUUUCCACUGCCAAUGACAGCCUUUCCUGCCUCAGGGAAGAAGAGAGAGACAGACUACAGUGAUGGAGACCCAUUAGAUGUGCACAAGAGGCUGCCAUCCAGUGCUGGAGAGGACCGAGCCAUGGUGCUGGGGUUUGCCAUGAUGGGCUUCUCAGUCCUAAUGUUCUUCUUGCUUGGAACAACCAUUCUAAAGCCUUUUAUGCUCAGCAUUCAGAGAGAAGAAUCAACCUGCACUGCCAUCCACACAGGUAUCAUGGACGACUGGCUGGACUGUGCCUUCACCUGUGGUGUGCACUGCCGCGGUCAGGGGAAGUACCCGUGUCUUCGGGUGUUUGUGAACCUCACGCAUUCAGGUCAGAAAGCUCUCCUACGUUAUAAUGAAGAGGCUGUCCAGAUAAAUCCCAAGUGCUUUUACACACCUAAGUGCCACCAAGAUAGAAAUGAUUUGCUCAACAGUGCUCUGGACAUAAAGCAAUUCUUCGAUCUCAAAAAUGGAACCCCCUUUUCAUGCUUCUACAGUCCAGCCAGCCAAUUUGAAGAUGUCAUUCUUUUAAAAAAGUAUGACCACAUGGCUAUCUUCCACUGUUUAUUUUGGCCUUCACUGACUCUGGUAGGUGGUGCCCUGAUUGUUGGCAUGGUGAGAUUAACACAACACCUGUCCUUACUGUGUGAAAAAUAUAGCACUGUAGUCAGAGAUGAGGUAAGUGGAAAAGUACCUUAUAUAGAACAGCAUCAGUUCAAACUGUGGAGUAUGAGGAGGAGCAAAGGAAGGAGGCAGAGAAAUCUUAAGACGGUAGCCAAAUUAAAGUGCCGGCCUUCAGAUGUCUGUGAUUUCUGCACCCGAGGACCUAAUUAUGCCUGUCUGCAAACUAACAAUGUAAAAGGUAAUAAUUAAAGCUAAGUAUCAUAUUUUCAUGUGG